AGAGCGAACGCUGGCGGCAGGCCUAACACAUGCAAGUCGAACGGACCCUUCGGGGUUAGUGGCGGACGGGUGAGUAACACGUGGGAACGUGCCCUUUGGUACGGAACAACUCAGGGAAACUUGAGCUAAUACCGUAUAAGCCCUACGGGGGAAAGAUUUAUCGCCAUUGGAGCGGCCCGCGUCUGAUUAGCUAGUUGGUGAGGUAAAGGCUCACCAAGGCUACGAUCAGUAGCUGGUCUGAGAGGAUGAUCAGCCACAUUGGGACUGAGACACGGCCCAAACUCCUACGGGAGGCAGCAGUGGGAAUCUUGCGCAAUGGGCGAAAGCCUGACGCAGCCAUGCCGCGUGAAUGAUGAAGGUCUUAGGAUUGUAAAAUUCUUCCACCGGGACAUAAUGACGGUACCCGGAGAAGAAGCUCCGGCUAACUUCGUGCCAGCAGCCGAC
rnacentral:rRNA from 1 species